rnacentral:rRNA from 1 species
CAAAAACAUCGCCUCUUGACUAAACAUAAGAGGUCCAGCCUGCCCAGUGACAAAAUUCAACGGCCGCGGUAUACUAACCGUGCGAAGGUAGCAUAAUCACUUGUUCUUUAAAUAGGGACUAGUAUCAACGGCAUCACGAGGGCUAUACUGUCUCCUCCCUCCAAUCAGUGAAACUGAUCUCCCCGUGAAGAAGCGGGGAUUUAACUAUAAGACGAGAAGACCCCAUGGAGCUUUAAACCCAACACAUACCCCACCCCCAAACAUCAACUUAACCUAAGGGGCCUAUGUGUUGGUUUUAGGCUGGGGGGGCCACGGAGUAAAAUCAAACCUCCACAACAAAUGGGCUAACACCCUUAUCUGUGAUUUUACAAAUCUAAGAAUCAUCAAAAUGAUGUAUAUGACCCGAUAAUUCGAUCAAUGAACCAAGUUACCCUGGGGAUAACAGCGCAAUCUACUUCGAGAGCUCUUAUCGACAAGUAGGUUUACGACCUCGAUGUUGGAUCAGGGUAUCCUAGUGGUGCAACCGCUACUAAUGGUUCGUUUGUUCAACGAUUAAAACCCUACGUGAUCUGAGUUCAGACCGG